CCUACGGGUGGCUGCAGUGGGGGAUAUUGCACAAUGGGGGAAACCCUGAUGCAGCGACGCCGCGUGAGGGAUGAAGGAUUUCUGUAUGGAAAGCUCUAUCAGCAGGGAAGAAAAUGACAGUACCUGACCAAUAAUCCCCGUCUAACUACGUGCCAGCAGCCGCGGUAAUAUGUAGGGGGCAAGCGUUAUCCGGAUUUACUGGGGGUAAAGGGAGCGUAGACGGUUAUGUAAGUCUGGAGUGAAAGCCCGGGGCCCAACCGCGGGACUGCUUUGGAAACUGUGUAACUGGAGUACAGGAGGGGCAGGCGGAAGUCGUGGUGUAGCGGUGAAAUGCGUAGAUAUCAGGAGGAACACCGGCGGCGAAGGCGGCCUGCUGGACUGAAACUGACGUUGAGGCUCGAAAGCGUGGGGAGCAAACAGGAUUAGAUACCCCUGUAGUC
rnacentral:rRNA from 1 species